rnacentral:misc_RNA from 1 species
UCUUCGUAGGUGAACCUGCGGAGGGAUCAUUGAUGAAUUACCUCUUGGCAACAAGAGUGUUCAUUUCCAUACACCCAUGUGAACCUUUUUUUUUCUCGGUCUUAGGAAAGUAGCUUUAUGCUGCCGGUACUUUGGCUGGAAAACUCUUGUGAAUGUAAAAAGUCCAGGAUGUUAAACCUAUUCCUUGAAUGGAAAAAGUCUUAACAACUAUUAACGGUGGAUCUCUUGGCUCUCGCAUCGAUGAAGAACGCAGC